CCCGCUGAACUUAAGCAUAUCAAUAAGCGGAGGAAAAGAAACCAACAGGGAUUGCCUCAGUAACGGCGAGUGAAGCGGCAACAGCUCAAAUUUGAAAUCUGGCCCUUGGGUCCGAAUUGUAAUUUGCAGAGGAUGCUUUUGGCGAGGUGCCUUCCGAGUUCCCUGGAACGGGACGCCACAGAGGGUGAGAGCCCCGUCCGGAUGUGCCACCAAGCCUCUGUAAAGCUCCUUCGACGAGUCGAGUAGUUUGGGAAUGCUGCUCUAAAUGGGAGGUGUAUGUCUUCUAAAGCUAAAUACCGGCCAGAGACCGAUAGCGCACAAGUAGAGUGAUCGAAAGAUGAAAAGUACUCUGAAGAGAGAGUUAAAUAGCACGUGAAAUUGUUGAAGGGGAAGCGUUUAUGACCAGACUUGGGGCCGGCCGAUCAUCCAGGGUUCUCUCUGGUGCACUCGGCCGAUCUUAGGCCAGCAUCAGUUUGCGCCGGGGGAUAAAGGCUUCGGGAACGUAGCUCCUCUCGGGGAGUGUUAUAGACCGUUGCGUAAUACCCUGGUGCGGACUGAGGAACGCGCUUCGGCACGGAUGCUGGCGUAAUGGUCAUCAACGACCCGUCUUGAAACACGG
rnacentral:rRNA from 1 species